UACAGAGGUCUCAAGCGUUGUUCGGAUUCAUUGGGCGUAAAGGGUGCGUAGGUGGCGCCGUAAGUCAUGUGUGAAAUCCCGGGGCUCAACCCCGGAACUGCACUUGAUACUGCGGUGCUCGAGUACUGGAGAGGAGAUUGGAAUUUACGGUGUAGCAGUGAAAUGCGUAGAUAUCGUAAGGAAGACCAGUGGCGAAGGCGAAUCUCUGGACAGUUACUGACACUGAGGCACGAAGGCCAGGGGAGCAAACGGG
rnacentral:rRNA from 1 species